GAGUUUGAUCCUGGCUCAGAUUUAACGCUAGUGGUAUGCAUAACACAUGCAAGUCGAACGUUCAUUGUUAUGAAAGUGGCAAACGGGUGAGUAAUAUACUAGUAUAUACCUAAUAGUUAGGAAUAAAGCAAUGAAAAUUACCUUAAUACCUAAUAGAGGUUUGAAAUAAAUCAAACUAAAAGGGAUUAGAAUAUUCUAAUUUCGCUAAUAGAUUAUAUAGUAUCAGAUUAGCUAGUUGAUAGUUUAAAAUACUAACAAGGCUAUGAUCUGUAGUUGUUCUGAAAGGAAGUACAACCACACUGGGACUGAGAAAGGCCCAGACUCCUACGGGAGGCAGCAGUGAGGAAUAUUGGACAAUGAGCGAAAGCUUGAUCCAGCAAUACCACGUGUGUGAAGAAGGUUUACUGUAAAGCACUUUUUUAAGAAACUAAGACUUAAUAGUUUGAAUCUAUCUUAAGAAUAAGCACCGGCUAAUUACGUGCCAGCAGCCGCGGUAAUACGUAAGGUGCAAGCGUUAAUCGGUUUUAUUAGGCGUAAAGCGUGUGUAGGCUGAAGAUUAUGAAACAUGUAAAAUAAUGGAGCUUAACUCCAUAAAGCAUGUUUUACUAAUCUACUAGAAGAUAGGUAAAGAUAACGGAAUUCUACAAGUAACAGUGAAAUGUGUAAAUAUGUAGAGGAACACCAAAAGCGAAGGCAGUUAUCUUACCUUGAUUGACGCUGAUACACUAAAGCGUGGGGAGCAAACAGGAUUAGAUACCCUGGUAGUCCACGCCCUAAACGUUGUCAACUAACUGUUUAUAAUAAAGUUUUAUUGUAAGUGGUGAAGCUAACGCAUUAAGUUGACCGCCUGGGGACUACGAUCGCAAGAUUAAAACUCAAAGGAAUUGACGGGGACCCGCACAAGCGGUGGAUGAUGUGGAUUAAUUCGAUGCAACACGAAGAACCUUACCUACCCUUGACAUGUAUAGAAUUAGUUCGAGAGAAUUAAGUGCCUAAUAAGGAACUAUAACACAGGUGCUGCAUGGCUGUCGUCAGCUCGUGUCGUGAGAUGUUGGGUUAAGUCCUAUAACGAGCGCAACCCUAUUUUCAUAUUACUAAUAAUAAAGUACAUUUGAAGGACUGCCAAUGAACAAAUUGGAGGAAGGAAAGGAUGACGUCAAGUCCUCAUGGCCCUUAUGGGUAGGGCUUCACACGUCAUACAAUGGUUGUUACAAAAAGAAGCAAGCUUGUGAAGGUAAGCAAAACUUUAAAAACAAUCCUAGUUCGGAUUGUACUCUGAAACUCGAGUACAUGAAGCAGGAAUCGCUAGUAAUCGCAGAUCAGAAUGCUGCGGUGAAUACGUUCUCGGGUCUUGUACACACCGCCCGUCACACCAUGGAAAUGUAUUCCGCCGGAAUUGGUUCUUAAUUAAGCUAACAAAGUGAGAUACGUAACUGGGGUGAAGUCGUAACAAGGUAACC
rnacentral:rRNA from 1 species